GAUCUGAGGGCCAUCUGGCUGUGACACCUAUCACCCCAGUGAUCAUCAGGGUUGAUUUGGCUGAUCUGGCUGGCUAAGUGGGAGUGUCCCCUUCCUCCCUCACUGCAACAUAUGCACUCCACCUGAAGUUGCACACUUGGUGGAAGAGGAGAACCUACCCCACAGAGGACUAGUCUUUGGCUAAGGGUAUAUGAGUAGUUGCACUACCCUGCUAGAAUGCCCAAACAAGCUCUCAAGUAUCCUUAGUGGGUCAAGCUCAUCCUUUCUGAGCAGUUCCCUUUAUUCACUGUUGAGUAAAU
rnacentral:snRNA from 1 species